AUGGGCAUUUUAGAGUUACCAAUUAACCCAACUAGCUGCAUGUCUUUGUGCUGUGCUUGUGAGUACCCGGAGGGAACCCACACAAACAUGGGGAGAACAUGCAAACUCCACACAGAAAGACCUUGGCUUUCAGGCAACAGAGCUAACCACUGUUGUUGUAAAGACUGUAUAGGAAUUUUUAUUUAUGUAUUAUUCACAUUAUUUUAUUGUAUAAUGCCUUGGUGCCACUGGAUUUUAACAUGUCUCACACUCAUGCAGCUAGACAGAUGGUGGGGGUCUGGUAAGGAAGUUGGGGGGAAGCAGACAACUCCACAGGAAGAAUCUUUUGGGGAGACUCUGCUGACUGUCUGCCCCACGAUCAUCUUUGAUUGGGUGUGGUGUUUGCCCUUAAUUACACUCACCCGUCACCCGUUAUAUAAGUACUGCACUCACCUACAGCUCACUCUUUCUUCACUUCCACGUGGGGCGGCAGCUGAGGUGAGUUUCUGUUUGAGUCUCCUGAGUUCAUGUAUUAUUUUGAGUUACCUAGUUAACCUAGAGGGUAAUUUUUAGUGCAUUUCUCUCUCACGAAUAGGCCUAUAGUGUGGAGAAAUUAAGCACACUGCUUUAAUACCUCUGAGCUGAACUCACAUGUGUAUUUUGUUGCUUAUUUGCACAUAGUUCUGAAAUUGUUAUGGUGUAUUGUAUUUUGAAUGUCAAUGGUUACUUACCAUAAGUAUUGUUUAAUUAAUGUUUACAUGAAUAGAGAAAUAUUUGAGCAACUUAGAUGUUUAGUUCUCAUAUUUGAUAUACUUGAAAACUGAAUGUUGUACAACAGAACUGUGAGAUUUGAUAAGAUUUAAGAUGUUGAUGCAAUGAAUAUGAGGUUGAUGCAAUAUUUAGAUUUUACAUUUUAACCUUAAACAAUGCAUCUGAAAGAAAGACUGAUUAGAAUGUACAUUUUAUGACCUGGGUUAUAGGUCAGGUUUUUUUGGAGAGGACAGAAAAGUCCGAGGACCAGGACAAAAUUCCGGUCGUGAUAGAUGGCGAGGCAACCACUUUGAGGACGAUCCGCCCCAAAGAAGAUACACACCCACACACUCAUACAUUCCAAUUACACUCACAAGGACCUUUGAGGUUGGCUUUUGCCAACUUAACUCUAAAUUCUUAAAGGGCCCCAACAAGAACUUUUAUUUUGUUAAGUGUGCACACUGUUAUUUUAUUUUGUACUUUUUUUUUUCUGUGCGAGUUGGACAGUGCCUGUUGUGCCUUGUAACAAUACAAGAGUGGCUACUCAAAAGUUAACAUUGUGUCCAGGUCAUUAUUGCUGCUCAAUACCUUGGCUCCAUACGAAUUUGGUGUCUUCUGAUACUGGCCAGGGCCUCAUUACGAGCCCAAGUAGUUAUUGUGCUGUAAUUCACCUUUAUACCUUAAAGUUGGUUACACUUGCUUCACAUAUUUACUGCUGCUUGGCUAGCUUUAGUCAUGCCAGCAUCAGCACAGGUAGAAACAGGUAUCCAUCAGAGAUAUCACAUGUAGCUUGCGUUUAUGUUCAGAGUAUUAUAGUCCUGGGCCGGUGGCCCAGUGUCUUGAUUUUGUAUUGUUGUUUGUUAGUCUGUUUUUUCUUUUGGUUCAUGGUUUAUGAGGCGGUCAGGUCCAGGUCUUUUAGACUGUCUUUUGCGCGCCUGGGGGAGGUCCACCCGAAUAAAGGGAGGUCCACCCAAAUAAAGGGUGGCCAGGCGGCCCGGUCCAGGUUUUUUCUAUUUUCGUUUCCACGCCUGGGGGGCGGUGACACCCCGUCACGAGGGCUGGUCAGGCCAGGUAGAGAAGUCGGGGUAGGACACUUUUCUAUUCGAGAACCAAUGUCUGGUGGAAGGAUAGCCCACCUAUCCAAAUCACUCUUAAUUUCCUUAUCUAAUUUAACAUAAUUAUGUUUACAUAAAUCCUCAACGUUUUGUGAUAAGGUGACCUUUGUCCCACAUCUGCGAGGUUUCUUUCACCACCGCCAGUAGCGUUUAUUUCAUCUCCAAGCAGGCCAAAUCCAUGUCAGCUAUUUGGGUUUGUGCCCCUGCUAUGCUGUUUUUUUGGUUCUGGAGUUCCUGCAUAACUUCACCUUUAAAUUCCGAGAGGUCGUCUUUCAGAACUUUCUUGACAUCAUUUUUAAAUUCGUCCAGAUCACGUCUCAUUUCUUGUUUGAAAUCUUUUAGCUCUGUACAGAGCAUUGUUAGAGCUUGUAGCAGAGCAUUUUGAUCAGUGCUAGCUUCAGCUAGCAUAGUUUCUCCACUGUUGACUCAGUCACUUCUGAGAUUUGUUGAGUAUCACUCAGUUUUUUGUUCAUCAUCUGACUCCUUAGCUUUCUCCCUCCGACCAUACAUUGAUUGAGACGGUAUCAGUGCUGUUUAUGUUGAUAGGAGGUAGUGUAUCCAAACUGACUUGAGGAGCUUGUUAUUAUACGUCGGAAGUCGGGUCCUGUUUUUCUCAUAACUGAAAAUUAUAGAGUAGCCAGUCUUUAAGAGCAUAAUUCCAUUGGUGGUUUGGGGUGAUUUUGGAAAUUCUUCAAACACUGAGUCAUACGAAGGGCUUGAUAGAGACAAAGAAGUCGAUUCACGCCCAUUGCUGGUGCUGGACUUUGACUUUGUCUGCUUCAUACUUUGAACUUGCUCCAGGACGCAAUACAGUGCUCUAUGGUUCCGGUUAACUGACGAAAUCGCAAUUGACAUGACAUCCACAUUUCGGAUGGAAAUGACAGAUUUUAACGGUUUCCUUUCAAUGUUUUUCUAAAUAUACCGAUGGCUCAGUGGAAGUACAGAUAAGUGAAAUUAGAAAAACCCUGAAAGGACCGCCUGGCGACCAGUUAUUUUGGUGGACCAUCCUCGUGAUGCCACCCCAUCACGAGGGCUUGCGAAAGCUUGGCAAGCCCUCGUGAUGGGGUGGCACCGCCCCGCAGUCGUCUAAACGAAAACACAAGAAAUGCACACCUGGCUGCCUGGCCACCCUUUCUGACUGUACAUACAAUACACAAACAUCACAAUAGGAAAACAGGUCAGAACAGGUAGCAUAAAGAAAACAAUAAAAUGUAUCACACAAAAAACUCAGUUGAGGACGAAAAUAAAACUCUCAUCCUGAUCACUAAUGGGGGAUGAGAAUGAGAACGGAAACGAAAUGAUGGGAUGCCACUGCCCCCAAGGCGUGCAAAAGAAAGUUGAAAAUAGCCGGACCGGAGCGCCUGGCCACCCUUCAUAUGGGUGGACCUCCCCCAGGCUCCGAAAGCCUGGCCAACCCUCAUGAUGGGGUGGCACCGCCCUCCAGGCAUGUAAAUGCAAAUAGAAAAAACCCAGACUGGGGUCCCUGGCCACCCUUUACAUUGGUCCACCUCCCCCAGGCUCGGAAAGAAUGGCCAGCCCUUAUGACGGGUGGCUUCGCUGCCCAGGAGGGUAAACGAAAAUAGAAAAAACCCGGACCGGGCCGCCUGGCCACCCUUUAUUUGGGUGGACCUCCCCCAGGCUUCGAAAGCCUGGCCAGCCCUCGACAUUGAUUGAAACCUUUAUUUGUCACUUGCAGUUGCCUGCAGCGAAAUUGGACCAUUCUGACCGUACAUACAAUACACAAAUAUCACAAUGGGAAGAAAGGUCAGAACAGAUAGCAUAAAGAAAACAAUGAAAUGUAUAACACAAAAAACUCAGUUGAGGAGGAAAAUAAAACUCUGCUCAUCCUGAUCACUAAUGGGGGAUGAGAAUGAGAACGGAAAUGAAAUGAUGGGAUGCCACUGCCCCCAAGGCGCGCAAAAGAAAGUUGAAAAUACCCAGACCGGAGCGCCUGGCCCCCAAUUAUAUGGGUGGACAUCCCCCAGGCUCCGAAAGCUUGGCGAGCCCUCGUGCUGGGGUGGCACCGCCCCGCAGCCGUCUAAACGAAAACACAAGAAAUGCACACCUGGCCGCCUGGCCACCCGUUAUUUGGGUGGACCUCCCCCAGGCUCCGAAAGCCUGGCCAACCCUCAUGAUGGGGUGGCACCGCCCCCCAGGAGUGUAAAUGCAAAUAGAAAAUACCAGGACCGGAUCGCCUGGCCACCCUUGAUAUGGGUGGACCUCCCCCAGGCUCGGAAAGCCUGGCCAGCCCUCGUGAUUGGGUGGCACCGCCCCCCCCAGGCGUGUAAACAACAACAAAAAAACCCGGACCGGGUCGCCUGGCCACCGUUCAUAUGGGUGGACCUCCCCCAGGCUCCGAAAACCUGGCCAACACUCAUGAUGGGGUGGCACUGCCCCCCAGGCGUGUAAAUGCAAAUAGAAAAAACCCAGACUGGGCUGCCUGGCCACCGUUUACAUUGGUCGAUCUCCCCCAGGCUCGGAAAGCCUGGCCAGCCCUUAUGACGGGUGGCUUCGCUGCCCAGGAGGGUAAACGAAAACAGAAAAAAUCCGGACCGGGCUGCCUGGCCACCCUUGAUAUGGGUGGACCUCCCCCAGGCUCCGAAAGCUUGGCGAACCCUCGUGCUGGGGUGGCACCGCCCCGCAGCCAUCUAAACGAAAACGCAAGAAAUGCACACCUGGCGGCCUGGCCACCCUUUAUUUGGGUGGACAUCCCCCAGGCUCCGAAAGCUUGGCGAGCCCUCGUGCUGGGGUGGCACCGCCCCGCAGCCGUCUAAACGAAAACACAAGAAAUGCACACCUGGCCACCUGGCCACCCUUUAUUUGGGUGGACCUCCCCCCAGGCUACGAAAGCCUGGCCAGCCCUCGACAUUGGUUGAAACCUUUAUUUGUCAUUUACAGUUGCCUACAGCGAAAUUGGACCUUUCUGACUGUACAUACAAUACACAAA
ensembl:lncRNA